GAAAAAUGGAAGUCAACAUUUUUGCAGCUUGGUGGAGAAAAUAAGAAAAAUGGGUAUAUUGAGAAACUUUAGCAGGAAUAUUUGCAAAAUUUUGAACAUAUUAGGUGAUGUCUUUCUAUAUAUUCGGACCUUGAUGAACCGAGUUACGUGAUAGCUGUUGUUGGUGGGGGUGUCAGAUAUCUCGUGAAUUAGUGGGGUGUGUGAAAGCUAGAGAAAACAAUAUCUGCAAAAUUUUAUUUUUACUUUUUAUUAGUCUUGGCUUUGGUGGACGGAGUUUC
rnacentral:misc_RNA from 1 species